rnacentral:rRNA from 1 species
AGUGGGGAAUUUUGGACAAUGGGGGCAACCCUGAUCCAGCAAUGCCGCGUGUGUGAAGAAGGCCUUCGGGUUGUAAAGCACUUUUGUCCGGAAAGAAAUGGCUCUGGUUAAUACCCGGGGUCGAUGACGGUACCGGAAGAAUAAGCACCGGCUAACUACGUGCCAGCAGCCGCGGUAAUACGUAGGGUGCGAGCGUUAAUCGGAAUUACUGGGCGUAAAGCGUGCGCAGGCGGUUUUGUAAGACAGGCGUGAAAUCCCCGGGCUCAACCUGGGAAUUGCGCUUGUGACUGCAAGGCUAGAGUACGUCAGAGGGGGGUAGAAUUCCACGUGUAGCAGUGAAAUGCGUAGAGAUGUGGAGGAAUACCGAUGGCGAAGGCAGCCCCCUGGGACGUGACUGACGCUCAUGCACGAAAGCGUGGGGAGCAAACAGGAUUAGAUACCCUGGUAGUCCACGCCCUAAACGAUGUCAACUAGUUGUUGGGGAUUCAUUUCCUCAGUAA